rnacentral:rRNA from 1 species
UUCCCUUCGGGGACAUUGGUGACAGGUGGUGCAUGGUUGUCGUCAGCUCGUGUCGUGAGAUGUUGGGUUAAGUCCCGCAACGAGCGCAACCCUUGUCUUUAGUUGCCAUCAUUAAGUUGGGCACUCUAGAGAGACUGCCAGGGAUAACCUGGAGGAAGGUGGGGAUGACGUCAAAUCAUCAUGCCCCUUAUGCUUAGGGCUACACACGUGCUACAAUGGGUAGUACAGAGGGUUGCCAAGCCGUAAGGUGGAGCUAAUCCCUUAAAGCUACUCUCAGUUCGGAUUGUAGGCUGAAACUCGCCUACAUGAAGCUGGAGUUACUAGUAAUCGCAGAUCAGAAUGCUGCGGUGAAUGCGUUCCCGGGUCUUGUACACACCGCCCGUCACACCACGGGAGUUGGAGACGCCCGAAGCCGAUUAUCUAACCUUUUGGAAGAAGUCGUCGAAGGUGGAAUCAAUAACUGGGGUGAAGUCGUAACAAGGUAGCCGUAUCGGAAGGUGCGGCUGGAUCACCUCCUUUCUAAGGA